AGUGAACGCUGGCGGUAGGCCUAACACAUGCAAGUCGAACGGCAGCACAGUAAGAGCUUGCUCUUACGGGUGGCGAGUGGCGGACGGGUGAGGAAUACAUCGGAAUCUACUUUUUCGUGGGGGAUCACGUAGGGAAACUUACGCUAAUACCGCAUACGCCCUACGGGUGAAAGCAGUGGAUCUUCGGACCUUGCGCGAUUGAAUGAGCCGAUGUCGGAUUAGCUAGUUGGCGGGGUAAAGGCCCACCAAGUCGACGAUCCGUAGCUGGUCUGAGAGGAUGAUCGGCCACACUGGAACUGAGACACGGUCAAGACUCCUACGGGAGGCAGCAGUGGGGAAUAUGGGACAAUGGGCGCAAGCCUGAUCCAGCCAUACCGCGUGGGUGAAGAAGGCCUUCGGGUUGUAAAGCCCUUUUGUUGGGAAAGAAAAGCAGCAGGUUAAGACCAAGCUGUUGUGACGGUACCCAAAGAAUAAGCACCGGCUAACUUCGUG
rnacentral:rRNA from 1 species